GACGAACGCUGGCGGCGUGCCUAAUACAUGCAAGUCGGGCGGACGGAUGGGAUCUUGCUCCCAGACCGUCAGCGGCGGCCUGGUUAGUAACCCUUGGGCAACCUACCUUUAAGGCUGGGAUAACUCCGUGACACCGAGGCUAAUACCGGAUAACUCUUUCCCUCACGUGAGGGCAAGCUUGCAUCUGGCAUCUCGCUAUCACUUACAGGUGGGCCCGGGUGGCAUUAGCUAGUUGGUGAGUGAACGUCUCACUAAGGCGACGAUGCGUAGCCGACCUGGGAGGGUGUACGGCGACACUGGGAAUGAAACACGGCCCACACUACUACGGGAGGACGAAGUAGAGAAUAUUGCGCAAUGGCAGAAAGUAUGACGGAGCAACGCGGCGUGAGUGAUGAAGGUUUUGGGAUGGUAAAAUACUGUUGUCAGGGAAGAACAACUACCGGAGUAACUGACGGUACAAUGACGGUACCUGACGAGAAAGCAACGGCUAACUACGUG
rnacentral:rRNA from 1 species